rnacentral:rRNA from 1 species
GACAGAGGGUGCAAACGUUGUUCGGAAUUACUGGGCGUAAAGCGAGUGUAGGCGGUCUGCUAAGUCGGGUGUGAAAGCCCCGGGCUCAACUCGGGAAGUGCACUCGAAACUGGCAGGCUAGAGUAUCGGAGAGGUUGGUGGAAUUCUCGGUGUAGAGGUGAAAUUCGUAGAUAUCGAGAGGAACACCGGUGGCGAAGGCGGCCAACUGGACGAAUACUGACGCUGAGACUAGAAAGCGUGGGGAGCAAACCGG